UUUUAUGUUUGUUAAAAUACUUGCUGUAUUUCUCUGUGGUUCUUUAUAUUUUUGUUUUUUUAAUGCUAGUUGUAUCUUCUCUGCCUUUUUGGCUUUUCAGUGAAAACUUUGUCUUUGUUUCUCAUUAUUUAUUUUAUUAUUUUGUCUAUGUCUUUUUGAUUGAUGACAAAUGGGGAUAAACACAUCUAAGGGGAAUAUUCGUAGUUAUUUUGAUAUGCCUAAAUUCCUUAAGUAAGAACCCAAACAUUAGAAUAA
rnacentral:lncRNA from 1 species